rnacentral:rRNA from 1 species
UACGUAGGGGGCAAGCGUUGUCCGGAAUCAUUGGGCGUAAAGCGCGUGUAGGCGGCCAGAUAAGUCCGUUCUGAAAGCCCGGGGCUCAACCCCGGGAGGCGGAUGGAUACUGUUUGGCUCGAGUCCGGAAGAGGCGAGUGGAAUUCCCGGUGUAGCGGUGAAAUGCGCAGAUAUCGGGAGGAACACCAAUGGCGAAGGCAGCUCGCUGGGACGGUACUGACGCUGAGGAGCGAAAGCCAGGGGAGCAAACGGG